GCUUCUUGUCGGGGCCUUCACGUGGGCCUUCUCGUCGGGGCGGAGAGAUCAGCGACAUGGACAGGCCUUCUCGUGUGGGGCUUCACCGGGGGACGUGAACACCAGCUUGCUAAAAGAUUAGAUGUCCCUGCCCGGCGGAUUCUGAAUGCCCCAGUGGCUCGCGCACAUAAUUAGAUUUGAGUUCUCUGUUGGCGACGGUUAACAAUCCAUCGCUUCCAAGCCUUCCUCCUACCUGUGAGUUUGUGUUUGUUGAUGUCCUGGAAUCAUGGGAAGUAGCAGGUCUGCUCCCUAGGUGUUCGACAAAAUAUCCCGGUGCUAAGUUCCCAAGAGAGAGGGAGGGUAGUGUUGCGAUUGUUGUAAGAUGGACGGAGGCAGAGAGGAUAGUGCUUUGUGUUCUCAAUACUGUUAGAUUAUUGGUCCAUUUCUGUUGUGCGCC